rnacentral:lncRNA from 1 species
CACUGACCUUCUUCUUCUCAGGUGAUGGGUGGGUGCUCUUGGGUUCGCCUUCUCCUUCCCGGUCGCAGGUCAGAGGGUCUCGACCUGGUGCAGGCUUGGGUCCAUUGCUAGAGUCCUCCUCGUUUGGUUUCCACCCACUCAGGUUGACACCAGCAGCACACCACAGCUGUGAGGACAGGGCUGUGAGGUCUCGGUACUCCAGCUUCUCUGGCCUCCCAGAGGCUGCGGUAAUGGAGACUACCCUUUGUCCAGGGUUCCCUUGGAGGCCCCUGAGCAGGAUCCUCAGUGCUCACCUUUGUUGAGGGGUCCUUCUCCACCAGAGGGCGGCAGUACACAGGGACAGGCACAUUUUUCAUCCGGGUAUCUUCCUGGCCUCCAUUGGGGCUCAGCUGCAACAGAGAUGGUUCUGUGGUAUGAGGUCGAGGGAGACACCUUAGCCUUCAGAAACCUCAAUCAGUCGCCUGUUAGCUUCUGGUACACAGUAUACUGCAUCUGGCUCUGCUGGCCCUCUGUGGUGGUUAGUUUUUGCCAACAUGACACAAGUUAGAACCACCUGGGAAGAGGGAACCUCAACUGAGGAACUGCCUCCAUCAGACUGGUCUGUAGGCAUGUAUGUGAGAGGUGAUCCUGGGUUGUGGAAGAAAGCAAGUUGCCAACGCAAUGGAAAACAAGCCAAUAAACAAUGUUCCUCUGUGAUUUCUGCUUCUGUUUCCCUUGACAAUGGAAGUUAAGUCAAAUAAACCCAUUCUUCGCCCAA